AUAUGUUUUACAAUAUUUGUAUGUCACGGACCAAUCAGAUGUGAGGUUAAAGGUUAUGGGGUUAGGAGGGAGUAGAGAAGAUGGAAGAGAGUGGACGGUUAGUCCAAUGACAUUAGUUGACAGGAGAUAAUUCACUGUUAUUAGCUCCAUCUCUAGGCUAUUAGAGUGGAGGGUCACUGAUAUAAGUUGUCUGAUAGAUAACUUAGUAGUGAAUAACAGUCUGUAUCUACUAGUUUAGUGAGUAGAAAAUCGAGUCUAGUAGUACAGGCAAGCGCGGGAGCCAUUUUAGCUAGCUGACCUGCAUGAGCCUGCCUAGGCACAAUUGCAUGUUAAACAGUAGUUCACUGUGUAAAUGCUUGGACUUUGCCAAACUGAUUCGAUUGGACACCGGAGAGUUCGCUGUUCACUUGGAUAAGGUAGACAGAAGAAUUAGCUCGACAGAACAGCCAAGAGCUCACCAGUGUGUGCCAGGAGCAACGUGGCUGCUCGCUUCUACUAUGAUACCAACAACUCGAUGGAACUCCGCCACCAUUCCACUGCAACAGGUGUCUUCUAGGUGCCGAUGCAGCACCGAAAGAACCCAAGACUUGCGUCACGGCGUAUCUCACAACAGUUGCAUCAACUCGGUUCAGUUCCGCUUUCUGAGAGCGAAAAGGAAAAAAAGAGACAAAAAUAGAUUGUGACGGAAUAAAAGCAUUGUCGCUAAGCUCA
rnacentral:lncRNA from 1 species